rnacentral:rRNA from 1 species
GUCUACGGUCAUACCACCCUGAACGCACCUGAUCUCAUCUGAUCUUGGAAGCUAAGCAGAGUCAGGACUGGUUAGUACUUGGAUGGGAGAAAUGCCCUAUGAUAAUUACUGUCUUAGAAC